rnacentral:piRNA from 1 species
UGAUUGGAAACAGCCCCCACAGGAGCCUC